GUGGAUAUAGCUCAGUCGGUUAGAGCGUUGGACUGUGAAUCUAAAUGCACGGGUUCAAAUCCCGUUAUUCACC
rnacentral:tRNA from 2 species